GUCAUAUUAACUGAGGCAACUAAUGGAAAACAAAUGCAUGGCUUCAAUGAGCCAGAUAUGGAAAAUAUGCCAAAGAAGAAAUUUUGGCAAGACAAAGAAGACUUCAGAGCAGAGCAAAUACAAGAACGCUUCCUUUCCCUCCUCCUGUUAUGGGAUGCAACAGCAAGGAUCACCAUACACACGGAGUGCAUAUCACAACAUUCACAUCUUGAUUUAAAAGGAGAAAGGAAUGUGAAAUAGGAACUGCAUAUUUAGCUCCCCAAAAUUUAUUUCCUUAGCAAUGUGCAUAUGUUUUAUUUUCUCCAAUCUUAAUAUCCAGCAUGAUAAGUAGAUGGUUGUAUGGGGUUUGCAUGCCAGGUUUUGGUAGUGUGUUCUGGUGGGGAUGGAUGAUCAGGCAGCAAACAGCCCAAAGAGCUGGGCACAUUUCCAAAUAGCUGACACUGCCCUGCUGAAGCUGCUGUCACUGCCACUAGUUCCAAAGAAAGGGUGGCAAGAGGUGGGACAUGUAUGGAGCAGCACAGGCUGGAUCUACCUCAGUAUGUGUGCGAAAACCUUCAAACUGAGACAUGGUCCCCAGGGCUGGUAGACUCACACCACCUUGAGCCCUGUAGGAAACAUUUUGGAUUUUAGUAGCAGAAAUACUUCAAAACUAAUAUUUGGACCAACGGCCUGAAUGCAAAACUAUCCUAGCAAUCCCCAGAGAUUUGUAAGAAACAAGCUUUGCAAGCAACUGCAGUCAUCCAGCCCCUGAACAGGAACUAAGCAUAGCACCAUGGGGCAGGAUCCAUUUCUGUGCUAUGCUUAGUUACUGCUCAGGCUGUGUACUUGUUAGGGACAAUGAUCACUGCAGGGAGGCAAUGAGCAAAGCAGCUGUAGAAUUUCUGCUUCCCAAACUGCAUUGACCUUGCCAAACAAAAUUUAGAAAUCAAAUGGAGCGAAUCAGUGACACUUCUCAGUCCCAUUUCAAAUGCAAAAAAAAAAAAAAAAAAAAAAAAAAAAAAAAAAGACACUUUUUAAAAAAAACCCAAAACAAAAUGGAACAAAAAAAAUCCUCAGCAAUUCCACCUCUUUUUAAGUUAAGUUGUUUCUCUCUGCUCUGGUUUCCUAAACAGGAUUUCACUGUGAGCAAAAAAAAUCUGCACAACACCAAUAAUUCACUGAUUUCUGGAAUGACGCAUUAGUAGCUGUAUACAUGCAUAAGCCACAAUCUGGAUUUUUAACUGUUAUAUCAUUUACCAUGGAAAGAACUGUAAUUAAGAUCCAGAAAAAUUCAAAUUACCACUCAAAUAAAAGAUGCUUAAUCCAACUCGUAAAUAUCA
rnacentral:lncRNA from 1 species